UGGGGAAUAUUGGACAAUGGGGGAAACCCUGAUCCAGCGACGCCGCGUGUGUGAAGAAGGCCUGCGGGUUGUAAAGCACUUUUAGUGGGGACAAAAAGUCACGGAUUAAUACUCUGUGAUCUUGAUUUAACUCACAGAAAAAGCACCGGCUAACUCUGUGCCAGCAGCCGCGGUAAUACAGAGGGUGCGAGCGUUAAUCGGAAUUACUGGGCGUAAAGCGCGCGUAGACGGUUUUGUAAGUCAGAUGUGAAAUCCCCGGGCUCAACCUGGGAACUGCAUUCGAAACUGCAUAGCUAGGGUGCGGAAGAGGGAAGCGGAAUUUCAGGUGUAGCGGUGAAAUGCGUAGAUAUCUGAAGGAACACCAGUGGCGAAAGCGGCUUCCUGGUCCAGCACCGACGUUCAGGCACGAAAGCGUGGGGAGCAAACAGGAUUAGAUACCCUGGUAGUCCACGCCAUAAACGAUGAGAACUAGACGUUGAGAGGGUAAGCCUCCCAGUGUCGUAGCUAACGCGCUAAGUUCUCCGCCUGGGGAGUACGGCCGCAAGGU
rnacentral:rRNA from 1 species